rnacentral:rRNA from 1 species
GACGGAGGAUGCAAGCGUUAUCCGGAAUGAUUGGGCGUAAAGCGUCCGCAGGUGGCAGUUCAAGUCUGCUGUCAAAGACCGGGGCUUAACUUCGGAAAGGCAGUGGAAACUGAACAGCUAGAGUAUGGUAGGGGCAGAGGGAAUUCCUGGUGUAGCGGUGAAAUGCGUAGAGAUCAGGAAGAACAUCGGCGGCGAAGGCGCUCUGCUGGACCAUAACUGACACUCAGGGACGAAAGCUAGGGGAGCGAAUGGG